GUCCAAAGAAAAAAGAAAGAGAGACACAGUAGAAUUUGGGACCCUCGCACAUUAUGUGCAGUAGCACAGUGAACUUUGCAUUUCAUCAUGAGCAGCUACAUUACAGUGCAUUCUUUCAUAUUAUUAACGUUAAUGUUUAAAGAGUGUCUGCAGUGUGAGGAUGUUUACCAGUGUUCAUCGUACGUAGUUUAGCAUCAUCUGACUUGCUGCGAAGCAGUGCGUUUUCUCACGACUCAUUUGAAUGAAGUAAUGUUUUAUGUUAGUGCAACUUUUCUUGUUUUCCCAGCUUAUCGUGCGAGUGAACUGAGUGGUGCAGCAGCGUUUGUAAUUCACGAAAAUGCUUCAGAGCGUUAACUUGUGUGAAAGCGUGAGCCCUUGUUAAAGCACUUCCUCAUUCUCCCCGACACUUCGGAUAAAUUGUUCAUAGUGAAAAAAAAAUUGUUGACUAGUGUUUUGAAAUGUGGUCACAUUGCUUUCGUGUGGAUGCAGGAAGCACAUAUCAUGUAAGCAUGUGCUGAUGGCGACAUAGUAGCGAUCAUUGAUUUUUUUUUAGUCCUGAAUGAGUGGUGCGCUUGCUUUUUUUUUUAGUUUAUGUUCCCGGUCACUCGGGUCACCCUUUCACGUUGACAUUUAAGAGGUCUAGCUGGAAGCGAGCCGUUUAGUAAUACGUGGUCACGAAGUGACGCGAGCACUUCAAGUGGCUGCGGCAGCAUUGUAUAAAGUCUUCCAAAUCUAAGCUGUAAGGCAGACAGCUGUAGCGUUGUGCCGAAGAACAAAUCCUUACUCAUUUUGUGUCUUGUUCCACUUGCACCUGUUGAAUGAGUGUUAGUUUUCAGUACACAUUGUUGAAAAAAACAACGUAAUGGGUGUUGCUAACCGGCACAAAAUUUUUAAGGUUGGCUUGUGAAAGAGCCACGUGUGUAGCAGUUCAGGAAAGUCUCGUAUUUUAGAUGAAGUCUUCUUCUUUUUAUGGUUACAAAUGAGAGCAGAAGCAAAGGCAUAGGUAGCAGCUUGAAAACACUUGCAUACUGACAUAAGCAAGAAGCUUUCAUGUACCUUAUUAGAUUCAGUAACAGGUUUUGUGAACUUCACUAUAAUAUAAGCCCUGAAGCUAUUGUGCAAUCUUUUAAUGGCUUCGCGGCAUGUUGUGGCUGCUUUGCAGUCAUUAAGGUAAACAAAUUAAUACUAAUUAUCACUACGAUAAAACUUUGAGCUCUUGUCUAUAGAGCUAGAAUAUGCAGAAGCAUCACCAGUGCAUCAGUAAGUUAAAUACAUAAACAUUAUGUCCACCUUCCAGAGCGAUUGCGCAUUUUUCUUUCAAGCCAGGAUUGUCUGCCAAGUACGUCACUAAAACUCGUGACAUGUUAUUUGCAUCACCAAACUUACCAUCACCGUACAGACCGGUGCAUGGACAAAAGACUCAGUAGGUUUCUCCUUUCUGGUCACUGUUUGCAGUGCAGCAGACACUGGUACUAAUCGCCUAGUCCAGUUUCACAUAUCUUCAGUUCUAAUCCGUGUAGUUCGUUUAAACCUUUAGGCUAAGGUUGGCAAAACAGCACACAACUUUCUCAACAUCAAUAAUGUAUAAAAUGGUGCCAACAAAGGAACUUUAAUUGGACAGUCAGUGUUGCAGGCCACUUGUACUGCGACUGCAUCGUGAAUGAUUAGCUGAGAAAAGCUGUUGAAUCAUUUGUUAAACAAGGGAAAACGCAUCAGAACAGUAUCGUAGGUGCAUGCAAACGAGAGGAAGAGUACUUUGAACACCUUCGCGUGAUCCCAUCUUCUCUCACGCACUUUUAGGUCAUGCUAAAGUUUCAGCUUAAGCGUGCUAGUGCAUGUUAACGAAACAUGACCAAAGGGCAUUUCAGGCACCUUUUAACCAGGCGAAAGACGAGUGCCUGUUGUUCUAUCCGUUUACCUGACCUUAGAAAUAUUAAGAAUAAGUUCUUUAUACAUUGUCGCUUUGUGGUUGCAGAGGUGAAAAAAAAAGAAGAUGCUUGAAUGCGACAUGAAAUGACAUGCUACGCAGAGAAGCUACAGGUUCCCGUGCACCUUUGCAAGUUGGAUGUGUUGUUCAUCGCCUGUUUCAUGAAUGCCGCAAGAUUUUUUUGUGCUUGCUUGUCUGAUGACAGAACUGUUGUAUUUUGAAUAUAAAAGAUGUACAAAAGAA